rnacentral:rRNA from 1 species
ACAUUAGCAUGGGAUAAUGGAAUAGGACCCUGUCCUCCUAUUUUCAGUUGGUUUUGGCAGCGCGAGGACUAGGGUAAUGAUUAAUAGGGAUAGUUGGGGGCAUUAAUAUUUAAUUGUCAGAGGUGAAAUUCUUGGAUUUAUGAAAGAUUAACUUCUGCGAAAGCAUCUGCCAAGGAUGUUUUCAUUAAUCAAGAACGAAAGUUAGGGGAUCGAAGACGAUCAGAUACCGUCGUAGUCUUAACCAUAAACGAUGCCGACCAGCGAUUAGGAGACGUUGAAUACAAAACACCACCAUCGGUGCGGUCGUCCUUGGCGCGUUGGUCUUCAAAAGCCAGCGCGCGGGGGCGGCUUAGCCCGGUGGCACCGGUGAAUGACUCCCUAGCG